CGACCUCAGAUCAGACGUGGCGACCCACUGAAUUUAAGCAUAUUAGUCAGUGGAGGAAAAGAAACUAACCAGGAUUCCCUCAGUAGUGGCGAGUGAACAGGGAAGAGCCCAGCGCCGAGUCCCCACCGCGAGCACGGUGCGGGACAUGUGGCAUACGGAAGACCCACUCCCCGGUGUCGCUUAUGGGGGGGGCAAGUCCUUCUGAUUGAGGCCCAGCCUGUGGACGGUGUGAGGCCGAUACCGGCCCCCGGUGCCCGGGCCCAGGUCUUCCCGGAGUCGGGUUGCUUGGGAAUGCAGCCCAAAGCAGGUGGUAAACUCCAUCUAAGGCAAGAGACACAUAGUCAACAAGUACCGUAAGGGAAAGUUGAAAAGAACUUUGAAGAGAGAGUUCAAGAGGGUGUGAAACUGUUAAGAGGUAAACGGGUGGGGUACGCACAGUCCACCUGGAGGAUUCAACCCGGCGGCGUGCAUUCGGCCGUGCCAGCGGUCCCGGCGGAUCUUUCCCGCUCCCGGUUCCUCCCGACCCCUUCGCGCGAGUAGUUCCUGCGUCCCGCCACCACCCUCAUCCCCCGCUUCCCCUCUGGGGGAGUGUCGUUGGCGGGCGUGAGGUGUGGUGCGGGGGCGGGGGCGGCAGGGGACCACCCCUGGCUGGCGACUGGCCGCUACGGGGUGGACUUCCACCAAGGCAGUGCGCCUGGAUCGGCUGCAGGACGGUUGGGAAGGUGGCUGGGGGGGGCGUACCACAUGUGGGGGCACCGAAUCACCCCUCCCCGAGUGUUACAGCACCCUGGCAGCAGCGCUCGCCGAAUUUCGGGGCCAAAGAAUCCAGAUAUCCGUCGCCGCGCUCUCCCCCUCCUCCUCCUCCAUGUGGGGAGGAGGGGACCAGACCGCCCCUCCCAUGGUGCGACCGCUCUCCCACCCCUCUUGGCUUUCCUCCCUCUCGGGGGCGGUGGUCCGGGGGGCUGGGCGGACUGUCCCAGUGCGCCCAGGGCGUUGUCGCGUCAUCAGGCUCAAAGGGGACCCUGUGUCACGCGCUUUUUUAUCGGAGCCCGAGCACUUGGGGUUGGCGGAGAUGUCGGCCACCCACCCGACCCGUCUUGAAACACGGACCAAGUAGUCUAACGCAUGUACUGUGUCGGAGGCUCGUCCGAAAGCCGCCGUGGCUCAAUGAAGGUGAAGGGCCCCACCCGGGUCCCUGAGGUGGGAUCCCAAGGCCUCUCCAGUCCGCGGAAGGCGCACCACCGGCCUGUCUUGCCUGCGGCACAGGGGGGGUGUGGAGCACAAGCGUAUGCGUUAGGACACGAAAGAUGGUGAACUAUGCCUGGGCAGGGCGAAGCCAGAGGAAACUCUGGUGGAGGUCGGUAGCGGUCCUGACGUGCAAAUCGGUCAUCCGACCUGGGUAAAGGGGAGAAAGACUAAUCGAACCAUCUAGUAGCUGGUUCCCUCCAAAGUUUCCCUCAGGAUAGCUGGCGCUCUAGCAGAAAUUGAAAUGCCUGCAGUUUUAUCUGGUAAAGCGAAUGAUUAGAUGUCUUGGGGCCGAAACGAUCUCAACCUAUUCUCAAACUUUAAAUGGGUAAGAAGCCCGGCUCCCUGGCGUGGAGCCGGGCGUGGAAUCCGAACACCGGGUUAAGGCGCCCGAUGCCGACGCUCAUCAGACCCCAGAAAAGGUGUUAGUUGAUAAAGACAGCAGGACGGUGGCCAUGGAAGUCGGAAUCUGCUAAGGAGUGUGUAACAACUCACCUGCCGAAUCAACUAGCCCCUGAAAAUGGAUGGCGCUGGAGCGUCGGGCCCAUACCAGGCUGUCGCCGGCAGUUGGAAUGGGACUGGAGUGGCCGCGGGCGCACGUCUCCCGGCGGGCAUGGUGGGCGUUGCAUGCCGCCACCCCUCGGGUCUUGCCCCCGAGGUGUUGGGCCCCUGGACGCUACGCCUCAACGAGUGGGGGGGGCCGCUGCGGUGAGCCUUGACGCCUAGGGCGCCGGCCCGGGUGGAGCCACCGCAGGUGCAGAUCUUGGUGGUAAUAGCAAAUAUUCAAACUAGAACGUUGAAGGCCAAAGUGGAGAAAGAUUCCAUGUGAACAGCAGUUGAACAUGGGUCAGUCAUUCCUGAGAGAUGGGCGAGUGCCGUUCCGAAGGGACGGGCGAUGGCCUCCAUUGCCCUCGGCUGAUCGAAAGGGAGUCGGGUUCAGAUCCCCGAAUCCGGAGUUGCAGAGACGGGUGCCGAGAGGCGUCCAGUACAGUAACGCGACAGAUCCCGGAGAAGCCUGCGGGAGCCCCGGGGAGAGUUCUCUUUUCUUUGUGAAGGGCAGGGCGCCCUGGAAUGGGUUCACCCCGAGAGAGGGGCCCGUGCCUUGGAAAGCAUCGCGGUUCUGGCGGCGUCCAGUGAGCUCUCGCCGGCCCUUGACUAUCUGGGGGAGAAGGUGUAAAUCUCGCGCUGGGCCGUACCCAUAUCUGCAGCAGGUCUCCAAGGUGAACAGCCUCUGGCAUGUUGGAACAAUGUAGGUAAGGAAAGUCAGCAAGCUGGAUCCAUAACUUCGGGAUAAGGAUUGGCUCUAAGGGCUGGGUCAGUCAGGCUGGGGCAAGAAGCGGGGCUGGGCACGCCGCAGCUGGACGAGGCGCCACCGCCCUCUCCCAUGCCUGGGGAGACCCCCUUCCCUUUCCUGGCCACCCAGGCCCACCCUCACCUCUCCCCAAGAGACCCCCAUUGUUUCUCCCCCUCGCCGGGUGUGGGGGCCGGCGGGUUCAGCCCCUCGCAGGCUGGAGCAGGAGGAACCCAUGGGUCCCCGUUCAGUUCGGGGGGGGGAGUCCCGGACACUCGGGGGGGGGGCAGCGGCGGCGACUCUGGAUGAGAGCCGGCCCUUCCCAUGGAUCGUCCCAGCUGCAGCGGGCAUUGCGCUUGUACCUGGGGAGACUGGCGGGUCACUGGCACACGGGGUUGGAGAGGUUCUGGAGUGGGACCCUGGGGCUUCUCUCAUGGUCCCGGCGGCGCUGUGUGUCUUGCCCCCGCGACCCUCUGUGGGGAAAAAAGGCUUGGGGAUCCCGCGGUUCUUCCUGCCAUGCUGUGGGUAGUCGGCUGGGAACGCUCUGGGUUUCUCCAGCUGGAAGUUGGGCCCAGCUGUUCAUUAACUAAAAGUCUCUCCCUGGCUCCUCACGGUUCCUCAUAGCGGCGCAGGCCCAACACACGAAGAAGUCCUUGGGUUUCCAAAACUGGUUUAUUCACAUGGCGAAUUGUGGAUGGAUCUGGAUGCAUACCCCUCAAACCCAGGAUCGACCUGAGUUAAAAAGGGGAGGGGAGAAGGGGGGGAGGGGCUGGGGAGGAAUGUUUAAUCGGCUCCACCUCUGGCCUUCAGGUAUGUAAAUCUCUCUAGGGCCUGUUCACGCCCUCCACCUGUGUACAUGACUGAAGGGUGGAGGUGAAAUGGAGAUUAGACCUUGUGUUAGGCCCAACAACCCUCCCCACGCCGGCACUUCCCCUGCUGGGUCCACUCCCCCGGGUCGCGGUUUUUCCCCGAGAGGCGCCUCACCUAGGCUGGCGCCUAGCAGCCGACUUAGAACUGGUGCGGGCCAGGGGAAUCCGACUGUUUAAUUAAAACAGAGCAUCACAGAAGGCCCGCGGCGGUGUUGACACGAUGUGAUUUCUGCCUAGUGCUCUGAUUGUCAAAGUGAAGAAAUUCAAUGAUGUGCGGGUAAACGGCGGGAGUAACUAUGACUCUCUUAAGGUAGCCAAAUGCCUUGUCAUCUAAUUAGUGAUGCGCAUGAAUGGAUGAACAUGAUUCCCACUGUCCCUACCUACUAUCCAGAGAAACCACAGCCAAGGGAACGGGCUUGGCGGAAUCAGCGGGGAAAGAAGACCCUGUUGAGCUUGACUCUAGUCUGGCACCGUGAAGAGACAUGAUAGGUGUGGGAUAAGUGGGAGGCCCUUGGCGUCCUGUUUCCGUUUUUCCACGAGGGGUUGGGGCAGGGGGUCCGCCGGCCUUGCAGGCCGCCGGUGAAAUACCACUACUGUCAUCGUUUUUUCACUGACCCGGUGAGGCGGGGGUGGGGGGAGACGAGCCUCGAGGGUCUCUUGCUUCUGACGCCAAGCGCCCGCCCGUCCGCGCUUGGGUGUCCUAAGGCGAGCUCAGGGAGGACGGAAACCUCCCAUGGAGCAGAAGGGCAAAAGCUCACUUGAUCUUGAUUUUCAGUAUGAAUACAGACCGUGAAAGUGGGGCCUCACGAUCCUUCUGACCUUUUGGGUUUUAAGCAGGAGGUGUCACAAAAGUUACCAUAGGGAUAAUUGGCUUGUGGCAGCCAAGCGUUGAUAGCGUCGCUUGUUGAUCCUUCGAUGUCGGCUCUUCCUAUCAUUGUGAAGCAGAAUUCACCAAGCGUUGGAUUGUUCACCCACUAAUAGGGAACGUGAGCUGGGUUUAGACUGUCGUGAGACAGGUUAGUUUUACCCUACUGAUGAUGUGUUGUUGCCAUGGUAAUCCUACUCAGUAAGAGAGGAACCGCAGGUUCAGACAUUUGGUGUAUGUGCUUGGCUGAGGAGCCAAUGGGGCGAAGCUACCAUCUGUGGGAUUAUGACUGAACACCUCUAAGUCCCCCCAUGGGUGUCGGGACUGGGGUCUGGUGUAGAGAGCCACUCAUCCCAGGAAAUGGGGUGCGGCCGGAAAGGGGGCCACCCUCUCAUCAAUCACGCUGAUCACACGUUUGUGUGGAACCUGGCGCUAAACCAUUCGUAGAAGACCUAUUUCUGGGUCGGGGUUUUGUACGUAGCAGAGCAGCUCCCUCGCUGUGAUCUAUUGAAAGUCAGCCCUCAACACAAGGUUUUGU